GGUGGCCUUCAGGAACGGGCCGAGGGGUUGCCGCGCGCCCUGCGAUGACGGCGUCCGGCUCCCGGUGUGGCUGAAGCGCGCGGCCUCAGGACGUGGCCGUUCGCAGGAGACCAAGACAACAGCCCGGCGAUGGCAGGAACUUCCCGGAUGGCGAGGCGGCCUUCCUUGGCGCUCCGUGUGGAUCCUCCCCGCUGGGCAUCCGAGAGCUGAGUCGGAGGCUGCAAAUUGCAGAGGGGCUGAAAUCGGGGUGCCGGGUCGGGACUCGUGACCUGGGAUUAUGGAGUCAGCUUUGGGGACGGGGAGGUCCAGGCUGUGGCCCCUUAGGCCACGUGAAGGGAGAGCCUCACAUUUGUUCACAGUGCUGAGGUGUGCAGGACGGAGCAGCCCCAGGGCGUGUUGUAUCACUUGUCCAUUGUGCCUUGUGUGUCUUUUGUGCUUCUUGUGUUGUACGUGCCUCGCCUUAUCUCUUCUGGGGGCUUACCAGAAACCCCGGCGUCACUCCUCGCAUCUCUGAUCUCUGGGCUCCUCAGCCCGACACCAUCGAAGCUUUGCCUCGGGAGCCCUCAGAGGCCUCGGAAUCGCGUCUCUCUUUUAAAAGCAUCCGAUCGGAUAGCUUUUAGAGGUCUUCUUCCAUGCUGUGUCAACAGCCGUGCGCCGCGAGGAUCCAUUGCUGCGGCUUAGGUCUUGAAGAAACGCAAAGAUUGGUAGGGGACUGUGGCCCUCAGAUUCUCGGGCAUCCGUCUUGGCAGUUCCUGGAGUUUGUCAUUCCAUCAGCAUCUUCUUCCUCCCGGGUUCUGCGAGCUUCAUCAGCUCAUUCUUACCCGGCUCAUCUCGUUCCGCGUUCUCUCGGUCCUUGCGGCCAUUCUUUUGGCCCAGAGUUUUGUCUCCCCAUUGUGUCCCCUCGUCUGUUGUCUUGUGUGUCACGGGUGUCUGGGUGUAGUUGUCCCGGAGCUGCUCUGUCCUGCUGCCCGGC